AAAAAAAUAAGUGAAGAAAACGAAUAACGGAAGAAGAAACAAACAAACAAACAAAAAAUCAGAAAACAACAAAUUACAUCCAAAAACAAGUAAAAGAGACGCUUUUAUCAAAUCCACCGCUAUACAAUCAUCACAGAUCCAAACCCCAUAAAUCAGAAGACAACAGAUCAUAUCCAAAACAAGUAAAAGAGACGCCUUUAUCACAUCCACAGCCAUAUAAUCAUCACAGAUCCAAAAACUAUAAAUCAGACAAUAGAUCACAUCCAAAAACAAGUUAACGAAAAAAAUAAUUAUUUUAAUUUUUUCUAUUGAGAGAAUAAGCUUACCUUUAAAGCUUAACAACCGUUGCUCCUUCAAGAAAGUGCAGCUGUGGAGAUGGAGCUCCGUAGAGGUGCAGCAAAUGGGUAUAUGGAGAUGGAGAUGACAUAUAAAAGGUUAAAACAAAAGAUGCCCAGGAUAUAUUUGUCCUUUUAAUUUGGUACUUCUUUAAUUUAAGGGUAAAAUAGGUAUUAUAAAAAAUUUAUUAAGUUCCAAUUCCUUUCUCUCUAAAUCCUUCCACUUAUGGGAGGAAAGAAAGAAGAGAAUUGGAGCCCAAAAUUUUUCCUCCUAUUCCCUCCUUUUCUUUUCCUUUCCCUCCACUAAAAAACUCCCAAACAUCAAAAUUUUCAAUUUUCCCUUCCAUUCCAUUCCUUUCUCCUCCCAAACAUCAAAACUUUUAACUUUUCCUUCCAUUUCGUUCCUUUCUCCAAGAGGAAGGAAAGAAAAGAAAAGGAGGGAAUAGGAGAAAAAUUUUGGGCUCCAAUUCUCUCCUUUCUUUUCUCCCAUAAGUGGAAGGAUUUCGAGAGAAAGGAAUUGAAACUUAAUAAUUUUUUAUAAUACCUAUUUUACCCUUAAAUUAAAGAAAUACCAAAUUAAAAGGACAAAUAUAUCCUAGAGCAUCUUUUGUUUUAACUUUUCAUAUGUCAUCUCCAUCUCCAUAUACCCAUCUGCUGCACCUCUACGAAGCUCCAUCUCCACAGCUGCACUUUCUUGGAGAAGCAAUGAUUGUUAAGCUUCAAAGGUAAGCUUAUUCUCUCAAUAGAAAAAAUUAAAAUAAUUAUUUUUUUCAUUAACUUGUUUUUGGAUGUGAUCUAUUGUCUGAUUUAUGGCUUUUGGAUCUGUGAUGAUUAUAUUGCUGCGGAUGUGAUAAAGGCGUCUCUUUUACUUCUUUUGGAUUUGAUCUGUUGUCUUCUGAUUUAUGGGGUUUGGAUUUGUGAUGAUUUAUGGGGUUUGGUCCUCCUACUACAUCUGCAACCCCGCCACCGCGUGCUGGAUCCCAAUUCCCCGCCCCAUCCCUUCCUCUCUUCUCCUGCCCUCAUCCUCGUCUCCCGGCCCGAUUCCCCUUCCCUCUUCCACCUCGUCUGCCUUCUCGAGUCAGGCACCGGCGGCGCCACCGCCUAUCGUUUCGACACCUCCACGACUAGCGAAUGGUGGUCCGACCCGGCGCCUAUCCCCACCGACCCGAUCGUCCCCGGCUCAGGCGUCUCGGCCGCCAGGAUGGCCUGCUGGAGGACAGCCUCGACGGCGGUGCUCGCCUACGAUCCGGCCGCCGGCGCUGCCCGGAUUGUCCCGACGCCCCCCGGGUGCGGCGACGUUUGGCAACUCGGGGAGGCCGACGGCGGGCGGCUAUGCUGCUCACGCAUGACGGAGUCCGCUGUGAAGAUCCACGCCCUGGGCCAUCGGACCGGUGGACCCUUCUUGGGUUGUUCGCUGUGGCGGCGGGUGCGAACAGCGGGGACAAGUGGGAGGGCAGGGAGCCGAUCGUGUGUCGCGAGGCAUCGCGGCCGCUGAGAUUCCAGAGUGUGAAUCUCAAGGUGGUGCUGUGGGUGGACGGGCGGGUGGUGACGGUAGACCUGGGGAGCCGGUGGGUGAGGGAGCUCCGGUUUGACAGGUCGGCGCCGAGGGUAGCAAAAUCUGAACCAUUUGAUUAAUUUUGAUUAUUUAUUGGUUAACAUAUAUAAUUCAUUUAUGAACUUUUUCUGAUGCACAAUUGAAAUAUUUUAAUAAAUUUGGACAUGAUUAUGUAUGAAACCUCUUGACAUUUUAAUUUAGAUUGCUACAUAUAGUUCGGCUAACCAUUCAAUAGAACUUCUAUAAUAUAUAUAUAUUUAUUUUUAUAUAUUCAGAUUCAUUUGAUUUUUAUAACUUAUUUGAAUUAAAAAUUAAGUCCUAGAUGGAUAGGCGACAGCAUGACAUUCGCAUUUGGCAAAGAAAUCGGCAAAAAGCUGUUAUUCAAGUUAAUCUUCGUGUGAUUUGUUUCAUUGUGCACCAAAGGUUUCAACGUACAAAUUUUAUGGAUCGUAGGCUUUGAAAGACAACUAGUACGAGAUGAAAUAAUGUGCCAAAUAAACACAACUGAAAGAUGUCGUUAUAUUAUUCGUAUGGGAACGGAAGCUUUUAAAAAUUUAUGUGAGAUUCUAGAAAAAGAUGUGGGUUUGCAAUCCACUCAACGAGUGACGAUUGAGGAGCAAGUUUUUGUAUUUCUUCACAUAGUAUCACACAAUGUGAGGAAUCGUACAGUGUCAUUCUUUCUCCAUCGCUCCGGAUAUACCAUAAGUCAUCAUUUUCAUCGAGUAUUAAGAGCAUUAAUAUCAUUGGAGGAGCAAUUUCUUCGUUAACCCAUUGGAACAUUAGUGCCUUCAGAAAUACUUAACAAUAGUAGGUUCUAUCCAUACUUCAAGAUAAAAUAUUUUUUAUUUCAAAUACUUUAUCUAAAUUUUGAAGAAAAUAUGCAUAUAUUCAUCUAACAUGUAUAUGUCAGGAUUGUGUGGGGGCAAUUGAUGGGACACAUGUCCGUGUGAAAGUGUUCAAUAAGGAUGCUCUGAGAUAUCAUGGUAGGAAGGGUUACCCGACGCAAAAUGUGUUGGCUGCUUGUUCAUUUGACUUAAAAUUUACAUAUGUCUUGCCUGGUUGGGAAGGGACUGCAUCCGAAUCAAGGAUAAUAAAAAAUGCGCUUACAAGAGAAGAUAAGCUGCAUAUUCCUAUUGGUAAGUUUUUGCUAAAUAUAACAAAAUAAAUACAAGCACGAUACUUAUAGUAUCAUAUAGUACUAAAUUUCAUUCUUAAUAGGUAAAUACUAUCUGGUUGAUGCGGGUUACAUGCUAAGAAGUACACUUAUCGCACCUUACAGAGGCGUGCGUUAUCACUUGAAAGAGUAUUCUACUCGAGCUCCAGAGAAUCCUAGAGAAUUGUUUAAUCUUCGGCAUGCAUCAUUACGUAAUGCAAUUGAGAGAGCAUUUGGCAUACUAAAGAAACGGUUUUCCAUCAUACGAAGCACAACUAAGCCCACUUACUCAUGUGAGACACAAACAAAUAUUAUUUUGGCAUGUUGCAUCUUGCAUAAUUACUUAAUGGAGGUAGAUCCUGAUCAAAGACUUAUUGAUGAAGUAGAUCAAGAGAUUCUAAAUCAGUCUCCAACUGAAGAAGAGUUUCACGCUCCAAGAAGCAUGAAUGAAGAUGCUGCACGAGGAGAAUUCAUUAGGGACUCUAUAGCAGUUAACAUGUGGCUUGAUUAUGUACAUAAUAGGAUUCCAUAGGAGCUCUAUGAUGUGCUAAUUAAUUCUAUAUUUUCUUCAAACAUAUUUAUUUUAUUGUUGUAUGUGUGAACAAUUUUCAUAUAUGUCAAACUCAUUGGAAUUAGUUGUAUAUCUUAUUUUGAUUUUAUAUAUGUUGGCUUUAUUAAUGCAAUUGAUUGUAGUUCUUUUUUAUAUUAUAUUGAAGCACGUAUCAUUACACUCUCUUUUAUGUUCAUUGUCACAUAGAUAUAAUCAAUGAACAAUAAAUCAAAUCCAGGUGAAGGUAGUAAGAAGGAACACUUGAAAUGGACUGCUCGUAUGGAUUACUUCUUAAUCGAAGCAUUACUUCAGCAACAACGAAUGGAAAAUAGGGAUGAUGGAACUUUCACAACAACUGCAUAUGAUAAAGUGCUUAAAGAAUUGAAGGAAAAUCUUGAGAUAGACUUGAACAAGAACCAUGUGAAGAAUCAUAUGAAAACUUUAAAAAAUCAUUUCAAUGAGUGGUAUGAUGUGUUCAAGGCGACAAAAUUUAGUGGUUUUUCUUAGAACUCAGUGACAGAGUUGUUGAGUGCUGAUGUUGAAGUUUGGAAGCCAUUGAUAGAAGCAAAUCCUAAAGUAGAAAAGUGGAUGACUACACCUAUUGAGAAUUAUGAGAAGCUGUUAGAGUUAUAUGCAAAAGAUAGGGCAACAGGAGAAGGUGCCAUCACAGCUAAGGAGAGACGAAGACAAUUGGAUGCUUCAAAGAGUGUGAAUAAUUUAGAGUCUAUUCAAGAUAUUGAUGAAUUUGUUUCACAAAAUGAAGUUACAAUAGAGCGAUUUGAUAAUUUUGAUAAUGAAGUUGAUAUGAUGUCCAUGGACCCGCCAUUUCAAGCACCUUCUCAAAGUGAAGCAUCCUCAAAAGAAAAAAAAAGAAAGUCUAUAAAAGAGAGUGAUGAACCAUUUAAAGGUAUAAAACAUGUAAUUACAGAAGUUGCUAAUGCCCUCAAAGUAGAAAGUGCUAUUCUUGAGAAAGGAAAUUAUGUUUGGGAGAAAAGUCGAGCACAUGUAUAUUCGGAGAAAGAAAUUUUUAAUGAAUUGUUGGGCAUUGGAAUGGAGGGUGAUUUACUUAAUGAAGCAUACCUUUUUCUCACUAAACAUCCAGAUUGUGCAAGAACCAUGUUUGGCUGUCCAUUUAGUAGAAGGAAGCACAUUUUGGAGAAGAUGAUGAAAGACUCCCAUAGUGGUUGAAAAAAAAGUAUAACCUCUUAGCCCAUUAUAAAAAGUCUAUAUUAGUAGUAGUAAGAAGCAAUGACUAAUUUCUUUAGAUAGCAUUGAAUGAACCUCUUAUUUUACUUUGUACUUAUUAGUUAAGCAUUCUCAUUUUGGACAAGUCAUUUUGAAAAAGUUGUAAAAACUAAAAAAACUGAUAUGCUUGUUUGCUUAUUUGAUUGUAUAGAUCUCGUAUGCUUAUUUGAUUGUAUGGAUAUCCAGUCUUUCUCGUUGGGUUACUUUAAUCAAAUUUAUCAAAUAGACAUUAGUAUAACUAGAAUAAUCAGAGAAAAUGAAAUUUCGACUCUUUGGGUCAAAAAUUGUAGCCGUGGACCCAACCCGACCCAACCUAAUUUUCUAGUGGGUUGGGUGUGGGUCUAAAAUUAGGACCUAAACAAGGAUCCAGGGUGGGUCGGGGUCACUCAUGACCCGGUCUGACCCAAUUCAUUUACACCCCUACUCAUAAGCAUGCCCCUUUAUAAUAAGGGUAUUUUAG